rnacentral:rRNA from 1 species
AGCAGCCGCGGUAAUUCCAGCUCCAAUAGCGUAUAUUAAAGUUGUUGCAGUUAAAAAGCUCGUAGUUGAAUUUCGGGAUCAAUAUGUCGGUCGUGCCUUGGUACGUACUGGUAUCAUUGGUCUCUCCUUUCUGACGAACCAUGAUGUCAUUAAUUUGGUGUUAUGGGAAGUUAGGACUGUUACUUUGAAAAAAUUAGAGUGUUUAAAGCAGGCUUUAGCUUGAAUACAUUAGCAUGGAAUAAUGAAAUAGGACGUUCGAACCUAUUUUGUUGGUUUCUAGGAUCAACGUAAUGAUUAAUAGGGAUAGUUGGGGGCAUUAGUAUUCAAUUGUCAGAGGUGAAAUUCUUGGAUUUAUUGAAGACUAACUACUGCGAAAGCAUUUGCCAAGGAUGUUUUCAUUAAUCAAGAACGAAAGUUAGGGGAUCGAAGACGAUCAGAUACCGUCGUAGUCUUAACCAUAAACUAUGCCGACUA